CGGGAUAUAGAGACCGGCGCACGGGUGCGUAACGCGUAUGCAAUCUGCCUUUUCAGAGGGAUAGCCCAGAGAAAUUUGGAUUAAUACCUCAUAGUAUAGUACAGCCGCAUGGGAACUAUUAAAGUCACAACGGUGAAAGAUGAGCAUGCGUCCCAUUAGCUGGUUGGUAAUAACGGCUUACCAAGGCAACGAUGGGUAGGGGUCCUGAGAGGGAGAUCCCCCACACUGACUGAGACACGGACCAGACUCCUACGGGAGGCAGCAGUGAGGAAUAUUGGACAAUGGGCAAGCCUGAUCCAGCCAUGCCGCGUGCAGGAUGACGGUCCUAUGGAUUGUAAACUGCUUGUACGAGAAGAAACACUCCUUCGUGAAGGAAUUUGACGGUAUCGUAAGAAUAAGGAUGCUAACUCCGUGCCAGCAGCCGCGGUAAUACGGAGGAUCCAAGCGUUAUCCGGAAUCAGGGUUUAAAGGGUCCGUAGGCGGUUUAGUAAGUCAGUGGUGAAAGCCCAUCGCUCAACUGGAACGGCCAUUGAUACUGCUGAACUUGAAUUAUUAGGAAGUAACUAGAAUAUGUAGUAGCGGUGAAAUGCUUAGAGAUUACAUGGAAUACCAAUUGCGAAGGCAGGUUACUACUUUGAUUGACGCUGAUGGACGAAAGCGUGGGGAGCGAACAGGAUUAGAUACCCUGGUAGCACGCCGUAAACGAUGGAUACUAGCUGUUGGGAGCAAUUUCAGUGGCUAAGCGAAAGU
rnacentral:rRNA from 1 species